GAUUUAACAUGCUCUGGUCUUAACACAAUGAUGUUUUCUAUUGUCAGUAUCAAGAAAAGUAUAAGUAGAUACAGCAAGUAAUGAAUCUAUUCUAAUCAAAUCUACUUUUUGUCUGCAGAGGGGCUGAAACCAGGUGAACCUUUUGAUUUCCAAACUUCAGACUUUGGUGUAAGCUAGUCAAAUGAGGAUGCAAAUUUCAGCACUGUGAAACCAACAGAAACAUAAAAGAACUCAAAGAAACGAACAUCUCUUGCACCAAGUCUACACUCUCAAAACCAAUCCAUGUCCUCUGUAACCACACAAUAAAGAGUUUGGGAAUUAUAUUUUAUGUUUUGAAGGCCCAUAUGCAAUACUUGGGAGCCUGAAGUCCAAGCCAGUUGUGGCAGUUGCAGAGUGCUUAUUCCAUAUUCAAAUGCUUUAUAAAGAAGGAAGAGACCCACCCACAAAAAUGGGGUCCUAAUUAGAAUAAGAUAUAUCCUAUGUUUGUAUAAUUUUAUCAAAAUGGAUUCUACUAUCAUGUAUAAGUAAGUAGAACUGAUAAAACAAAAUUUACAAAAAAAGAAGGAAGAGAAUGAGUCUGAUCUCUUGAAUAUUAUGCCUAAUAAAGGAAUAGAAAAUACUUUUGUUGCAGUCCUACACAAAGCAGAAGACUUACAGAUGGCAUGAAGAAGGUAAAAGUUUAUCCAUAUACUUUUUUAGUUUUUCUUAGCAGGUUUUAUGUUUCCAUUUCUCAAUAAUAUAAUUUCUUUCUACAAGAAUUAUAGAUUUUGGGGCUGGGGUUGUGGCUCAGUGGUAGAGCGCUGACCUAGCAUGUGUGAGGUACUGGGUUCGAUUCUCAGCACCACAUAUAAAUAAAUGAAUAAAAUAAAAGUCCAUCAACAUCUUUUUUUUUCAAAAAAAGGAUUAUAGAUUUUUCAUAAUUACAAAUAAAAUUUGGUUUGAGAACAUGAUGUAAUGUUCCUUUACUUUAACUUUAGAUACUGGUUAGGAGUUUCCAAACAAAACUUUUUAGCUCUAAAAAUAAUUAUCGUGUUUUAUAAAAUAAAAAUACAGAGAGAAGUUCCAGUGCAGCCUUUGUGUUGCUUCCGACACUUUUACAAAUACUUGGACUUUUUCCUCCUUUAGGUUUGGGGUGAAUGUGUAGCCAAUGAUAGUUACUUUUAAAAUAGACUCCUGUUAAAAGUGAAGGAUGGAAGAGAGGGCUAAGUUUCUUUUUUAAUUAGAAAUUGAGAUAUUAUUACCUUAUUAUUGAGGCAAACCAUUUAAAAAUCUUGACUCUCAUUCUUUGCUAGAUUUUAAUAUGUUAUACAUAUUAACAUAAUGUAGUAUUGUUACUGAUUAGAAUUCCUUAAAGGAGUUUUUUUUCCCCACUGAUAUUAACUUAAAGAAAAAUUGUAAUAAGGUUGUACAUGCUUAAUUAUAAAUUAAGCAUCUUUGGUUAUAGAGAUAAUUUGGCUAACAACUGAUAGACAUCAUUCCUUCCUAUAUUGUCUUGGGCAUCUAGUAUUUAUGUAUGAAAAAAGUUAUUUCUUUAUGUUUGAGGUGAUGACAUUUCUUAACUGUACCAGCAGAGAAAACAGUUUGUUCUUCAUUAUUGUAUUUACUGAAGAAAUAAAGGCAGGCUGGGGAUGUGGCUCAAGUGGAUAGCAUGCUUGCCUAGCAUGUGUGAGGCAUGGGGUUCAAUUCUCAGCACUACAUAAAAAUAAAAUAAAGAUAUUGUGUCUACUUAAAACUAAAAAAACUAAAAAAGAAA
rnacentral:lncRNA from 1 species